UGGCUGGAAUCUGUAAAUCUGUCAUUGCAGCCAUAUUCGUGUGGCUGGUACCGCAGGAUAUGAACUUCUGCUCGUCGUAUACGCCACCGUCGUACGAGACACUAGAUCUACACGCUUCUCUUCUUUUGAGAGCUUUGCACCGAAACGGAAACCUCUCCCUAUCUCUCGAAAUAACAAAUGUUCUUUUUGUUUUUCAUAAAAUUGACAAAACCCCUGGGAAAGUAUUUCCUUCUAUUCUCUUUAAGUAUUUCAAGAUCACAAAGAGAGAAUUUUAUAAUUAUAGUUAUUUCUUAUUCGUUAACGUAAGCUUAUUCGUCCCACUUAAUGUAUGAACUAAUCUUCAUUUUUGUCGAAAUAUUAUGAAGAAAGGCUUGAAAACCAAUGAAAGAACUAUGUAUCAAAAAAUUCAAUCAUUGUUCAUUCAUCUACACUAUUCAGGAGCUUUCAUCCUUUUUGUGUUCCAGUGGCUGGUUGAAAGUAAAGCGCAGUUCUUGUUGAAGGUUUAAAAACCGUUUGGUUAUAUCAAACUGCAUGGAAACUAUAAAAGCCCUGGCAGUCGUUGCACGUAUACGCAGUAUUCCCUCUGGUAGCUAGCGAUGACGGAUUCAUAGCCCGUGGGAUAACGCAAGACCUCACCCCAAGAUGUUUCGGUUUACGGAUGCACGCUCUUCCUUGCUUUUUCUUCCUAUUUCUCGCCUUUUUUUCUUCUAUCUACUGAGCGAUUCAUUUGUCGGUCUUUGAUCCGAGACCAACAAGCUACUACCGGAAAAUUAGCGAAAUUUAUUAAGCAGUCGCUUUCUCUAGACUGCUAUCUGUCAUUUUAUUCUCCUUAUUUCUAGCGCAACCUGUCGUUUCAUCUUAUACGGGAUAUCAUUCAGUGGAUAGAAUCUUUGUUCAAAGAUACCGUAUUUGGGUGGUCGAAGGAUAAGUGACAAAUUCCAGAUGCUUCGUUGGGAGUCUUUUCUUCCUUUUUUUAAGAUAGAACGCAAAAUUUAUAUAGAUUCAUGAAUAUUACAACGUUGAAGUAAUUAUUAUUUUACAGAUAUUUCUGUUCGAUCCUCCACUUUCUAUCUUCUAUGAUUAUUUAUUAAAAAAAUCUUUGUUUUUUUUUAGACAUAUUCAUAGCUAUACUUAUUAACCGAUGAAUUAUCAUUAUAACGUCGCCGGUGUCCCGCUUAUCGAGAAAGGCGUCCUUUUAAGUUUCUGAAAGGUAGAUCUUCGAGAACAGCUGGUUCUCGCGAACAGCGGUGCCACCAGCAGCGCAAUGUCAACUAACCCCGUCAAGGGUUAGGGGUUAACUUCCACAGGACUAGUACCUACGAGGAAGAUGAAAGAAUGAGCGAAGAUAGGCCGACGGCCGCCCCUUUUUAUUACCGGCGCCGUCACGCGUCACCGAUAAGCGCGGUCUCUCUGUAGACGAAAAGUCUAUGCUUGCACCGGUUCUCUCGAAACAUGAGAUUUCAUCUUCCCUUCUUUACUUCUGCUUUUGCCAUCUCCAGUUGAGAGAAAGUUUCAUUUUUUAUGGACAUGUGUCGAAAAUCUUGGAACACGAUCUGCUUCUUUUCAACAAGGAGUAAUAGAAACGUGUUAAGAAUGUAACAACUGGCUGAUCAUCUGUUUCUUGAUGUUUUACUCUGGCUAGAAAGGAGCAUUGGGUUAAAAAUCAAAGAAAGAAACUGCAAAGGUUUCUGCUCUUAUUUUUAUUCAUUGCGGAAACAUGUGCGGGUCAUGAAUGACUGCAAAACGUUUUGUGAAUGCAUGAGGGAAGAUGUUCACCGAGAGUCAUUAAGGAUACGGUAUAUAAUAUGUUUACACAACGAGGUUCUUCGCGUCGCCAUCAAUCAUGGUGCACGUCGGUCCAUCCGUUUUUCUACGCUUAGGAACCGACAGACUGAGACGCUCAAAUUCUAUGCUACUUCGCCUUGUUGGCAUUAGAUUGUCAUUUCUAACAGUCCCGAUGUCAAGUCGUGUACAUACUACGUUUAUGUGAACGUCUGGUAAAACAAUUCGAGCAAACAUUUGAAAACUUCUUUGACAAAUUUUGAAAAGAGCAGUUCGAGAAAAAAUGUUCACUUAUAUACGCGUCAUUCGACCACAAGGAAAUCACGGGAAAAGGAAUUCGUAAGAGGUUGUGAAAUGGUUAACUUUAAACUCAAGUACUUGGCUUUAGAUUCUCGUUUACUUUAUAGAGUUUCCAUUUUUUCGAAUACGUUGUGUAACAUAAGAAGGCAAGAAAGUUUCGAAACACAAUGGUACACGAUACUUGGAGAAUAAUUUAUUAAGGCACUUAGUAGCCAAGCUCUCUCAUGGGUUGUCACGGUGCGUUUACUUUCCCGUCUUGGCUCGAGAGCGUUUUAGGCUCGUUUGGCAUUUCAGACACCCUGUAUAAAUAGAUGCACUUUGCUCCUACAAAAGGCACUUUCUUUCUCAACCAGUCCGCUACGGACCUACGACACCACCGAUUUGUAUCACGCGAUUUGAUCAUCGUGAACACCAAUGGAUCUUUAAUUUUCUCUCUUGUACUUUUGCAAGAUCCUCUAGUAAAUCAUUAUUUUAAUUUUCACCGAAACUUUCAUGAAUUCCCAAGAAAAUAGAGAUCCGAAUUACCGUGGCCCAUACAAUGAGGGUCCAGUAUGGGGAUGAUGAGGAUGCGCAGGAUAGUGGACCGAAUUCAUGUGUGCAGUUGGUUGUCCAUGGUGUCCAGGGUAAGUCCAAGGUCCUGCUGCGGUCGCACCGUAAAAUUGAUGAUGUUCUUGGCUCGAUAUGCUUGGAAUUUGUACGGUCUCUUUGCAGGAUUCUGCAUACUUGAAACUGCGACAGAGUCACACUCAUCCGAUUCACAGUCACGAAAACCUUUCGCAAAUGGAUUGCUAGCAAUUUUGAGUUGCGUGAUACGAUGAUUUUGAUAAGCUGUGAC